CUUCUGCAUCCCAUAGACCUGCAUCUCCUUUUUAAUUUUGAAGUGCAGCAGUUCGAGUUAGUCCCUCCCUUCUGGUAUGUAAGCACGAUAGCAAUUAUUGAGGGUGUUUUUCAGAACGUAACUGGGUCCAUUGCUGCACACUCACCGUUUUGUGCAAGGUCGCUAGACCGUCCACUCGGCAUCCACUUCCGAAGUAUGCCCUGCGCGGGUUUGGCCGCCAUGAUGAGAGUGACCAACAGCUCUCCAGGCAUGCAACCCGCAAGCUCUAGCCAGGAUCCCAGUCCCCAAAACCCGACCGGUGGUAUCCGAGGGAGAGAGAGCACAAAUAUAACUCCAUAGAUGUGCAACUCCAAAAAAAUCUUCCAGCUGCGGCUCAUGAGGGCUGGGUUGACCAGUCUCUCUCUCCUCACCAUCGCUCGCCCACGACAAGCCAACAAGCCGAGUUGUAUUGCGAGUUGUAGCCCACGCCACAAGCCUGACCCCGACGAAGAUCCACAAAAGCAGGUAUGGCCAAAUUGUGGCUUGGGGGCCAUCCGUGGAGCGUGGCAUUGUCAUUGCAUCACUGCAGAAACAAAAUAACAUUUAAAGAACAGCAAAAAUGGUAAAAAUAGAGGAAAAGACAAUGAGAAAAAGCUGAAAUGUUGACACCAACGCCCAAUAAUAUUACAAAGCAAUGUAUCACUUUUUACUUGACUUUCUACAAAAUAAAUCAAUACAUACAUAUACAUAUAAAUUAAUUAAUUAUGUUCAGUAAAUAACACAGUGUAUAUCUUUAUUUUAUACUCGGCUCAGAGCAAGUGAAUCAAUUGUACACUGUUGUGCACCUAGCCCCGCCCAGCGCUCUUGCUCACCAUCAUGGCGGAAAUUUUGCUGCAUGGCAUACUACACUCUAUUCCAUUCAUUUGCCGCCGAUGGGCAGACCUGUUCAAGUCUAGUAUCCUUGGUUUGGGGCGUGUUGUGUUUGUGUAAUAACCAGGAAAUGGCUGCAUUUAGCUGUACUUGUCAGUGUUAAAUCAUUUAUGCACUCAAUUUGUGGGAACGCUUUAAAUGAAACACAGCCAAAAUCUUUACGUUUAGUCACGACAGAGGGACUUUAAAAUAACAUAUUUAAAUUACUCGAGGUAAAAAAGACAAACAGGGUGUACCCCGUCUCUUGCCCGAAGUCAGCUGGGAUAGGCUCCACCGUACCCCCGUGACCUUAGUGAGGAUAAGCCGCACAGACGAUGGAUGGAAAAAAAGGCAAACAUGCAGUACAUUUUUUCUGCUAAAUGAAAGAACAAAUACCUUUAGAAGGAAAGAGAUCAUGAUUGACACACAUUAUUUCCAGGGUUUUGCGGGCCACAUAAAAUGACGUGGCAGGCCACAUCUGGCCUCUAUACAUCUAUGACGUAUAAAAGCAAGGCUCUAUGUCUGUAGAUGCUCAGUCAGGUUGAAUCAAGGCAACUGGACUCUUCUUGUUGGUUGAAGGCGUUCCAAAAAAUCAUUUACAACUGAAGAAGCCUUUUGGAUUAAAAGUGAAACGUCUUCAACCAACACUCGGUACACUCGGUACGCAAAAAAUCAUUCCAUAUGGCAUAACACAACCAAAAUUAUGAGCAAAAAUGAGAAACAUUUUCCUGAAAGGACAAAAAGCCCCGAGGAUUAAAAGGCAACACUACAUGAACAUUCCCAUUUUAUUGAACAACCACCUAUUUUUAAAGAAUGCAUAAUAAAUCUCCCUUUUAAAUGACCACAGUCUGUUCAACAACACAUAUCUAUCUCUCAUACCUAUUAGCAAUGCAACAGUAAGGAAGAAGCAUUAGAAACAUUCACAGAUUAAAUCAACAAUUGACAUAACAUCAUCGUUUAAAAACAAUUAAGGGCUGAAAGAAAUCAAAGGUGUUUGCUUUGGUCCAAAUUGAUCACUAGUGAUUGAUGGCACCUUUAAAAGCUUGUGUUUUUGAUGGUUAUCUUUUGAUCGACUUCUAUUUUGAAAUCACGGAUGCCUGAAACAACACAGAAACAACAUGAAACUGAGACGUUAUGCAAAUAAACCACAUGUGCAUGUUUGAUGCUGUGUGUGAGUGUGUGAAUAUGUAUGUGUACGUUGAAUAUGUAUGUGUUAGGGAUGCUCGAUCAGGGUUUUAUGCAGUUGAUUGCGAUACCGAUCAUCCCUGAGUGAAAUUGGCUGAUACCAAUACUGAUUACAUGGAUUAACUGUAAAGUUUUCUAUUUAUUGGUGAUGGGUGCUAUUGGCCAUGGGUGCCGUAUAAGGGGGAAAAGUUAGGACAAUUCCAAGGCCACCUGACGGCCAAAAAAAAGGUAAUUAUUAAAAAAUAAAAAGGAGGGGCCAUGGUGAUAUUUUUUUCAUGGGGCCCGGAAAUCCUGGCUGCACCCCCGCUAUUGGCUAUUACCUGCUAUAUUAUAAAAAAAAGCAACCAUAAAUUCACCUUAAUUAAGACAAAAACAUAUUUUGCUUACUUCUUUAAGAGAAUAGUGAUGGACAUUUUGGUUUAGAGAGCUGGUUCUCUUGGCUCGGCUGACUAAAAAGAGCCAGCUCUUUUGGCUCCCAAGUGACUCCUGUUUUUGGUGUCUUAAAUUAAUUUAUGACCAAAUGAUGUGAUUUGUGUAAAUUACCAAUGUAAAAAAAUACAUGAUAUCAAAUGUUUAUUAAAUAAAUGGAUGUAUUUAGCCUCAAUGAAGAGCUACACAAAUAUAUUAUAAUAUAAUGUUAUAUUAUAAAAACAAAGACCAAUCUCAAUAGACAAAUUAAGUCAAAAUAGGUCAAAUCUCUUCAUGCAAAUUUCUCACGAAUGAAUCGGCUCUGAGAGCACCACAGCGUGUGCUAAACCCCGCAAGGCGCUACACUGCACACAGAAAGGCAAAAAGCUGCAACAGUACGAGCCAGAGGUGAUCGGCAUUGAAAGGCGUUUAUCGGCAUAUGCCGAUCACAUACUUUUCAACGGAAAUCGUCCGACACUGAUGAGAGGCCGAUGGAUCGGAGCAUCCCUAGUAUGUAUACGUGUGUUUUCACCUUGAGUGAGAGCCGUGUCACCAGAGGAGAGGUGCCAGUAUCUGCGGUCGCUCUGUCUGGCCCGCUCUCCAUUCACCACACUUAAGAACGGCCCCCACAGGCUUGAUUCCUGCUCAAACCUGCCACACGUACGCUUUUUAAGAAUACCGUGAAAACCUGCUCAGAGUAUCUGAUCACAUGAACUUACGUGAAGCCAACGUUUUUUCCCUUGAGGAGCUGGAGGGCCUCCAACAGAGAGCUUCCCUUUGGUACAUUCAGGGAAUAAACAGCAGAUGACCCGCUGGAUGUCACCACUUCCACCAUCACGGCCACUUUGGUGUCACUGGGCAGAACUACCACAGGGUCGGUGGGCUCAAGAACCAAAUUGUCUGUGUGUAGACAUGCGCAAAGAGUGACAAUGCCGACACAAACCUAACAUCACGCGUUGUAAAGAACAAUAGUCUGCAUACUGUCUUCAUUGAGGCACUCCUUGCUUUGGACUGCCAAGUAGGAUUUCUGCUGGAGAGCUGGCAGGACCUGAGAUAUGGCCAUGGGGUUGUGGUACGUGUUGCCUCUGGCAUCCCUCCUCAUGGCCUCCAUUGGAGCAGCACACUCUGACACCUGGCUGCCCAUCGCCAGUAAAGCCUGGACGGAAUAUUUCAUGUGUAUUAUUUGAGAUUUGAGUGGAUGAUCAGCAAACGUGCUACAAUAGAACCUUUAAAGUUCAAGGAGAAUGAAGUGUUUCCCUUUGGAUAUGAAGGAAACUGAAAUACGCCCUUUCUCCUAAACCCUAGGUUCCCAAGGUGGGGUGCGCAUACCCCCAGGGGUAUGGCGUUCCAAUCCACGCACGGCGCAGUGGUGAAAACCCGUUGGUUGGCUGUAUUUCUGUUUUAUCACGGUGGGAGACGUUCCCCUUCAAUUUAGUACUAAAUUAAUAUGCAAACUUGGUUGCCACAGCCAUCGUGAGGGGACAAAAAAAGCAAAUGUCAAUUCAACCCAUUCAAUGACAAGGAUGCCAACAUCAAACUGAAAUAAAUGAUAUUUAGGAUGAGUGCUUAUCUAUUUAUCAGCGCUCAUGUGAAACUUGAUCAAAAUGUGACCAUGCAAAAUACACAUUUUUGACCCACAAUUACUAUAAAAUUAAUUAACCAAUGAAUUAUGUUCAAUAUUUCAAGUUAAUUAAGACAAAAAGGUUUAUGGUAUUUUAAGUGUCCAGGAGUAGGGGGUACAUGGCUUCAUGUCAAAUGUCAGAAGUGGUACGUGGCUGUGAAAAGCUUAGGAACCACAGUCCUUAAUAUUUGACACAGUUUAUGAUCACGAAUGACUUUCUGUAACUGUACUCAGCGGUUUAAUUUGUUCAUGUGUAAUUGCACAUUUACUGCUGACCAUUGCACAUAUAGUUGUUGUUGCACACGACUUCACACAAACAGUUGAUUUAUGUUUAAUUGUUGCAUAGUGUAUAUUUGUAAAGUGUUAUUCACAUGCUGCUGUUUAAAAAACACCUUGAUGUUGUGUGAUUUCAUCUGUGCCAGGGUCUAACUAUUUGUCCAAGUACUACAAAGCCUAUUUUCAGAUUUUGUAACUUUGUUAAUUGUGACGCAGGUGUGAAAUGACGUUAGCCAUCAAUACAUGACAAAAAAAAAGAGACCUCCGCAUUAAAUUUGACAGCAGGUAACGACAACGUUAAUGCAUUUUUUUCCCUCAUGUUCUUCCUAGUUGAGGUUGUUCCUUUUUUGCUUAAAAAAGUACAACAAAAAGGCAAAGUUGAGCUGCGGCUGUGUGCCAUAUGCUGGCAGAAAUUAAGAUUUUGGGACUUUAGAGGCAUUUCCCCCCCCCAAAAAAAAUAUCUGUGUAAUUCAUCUUAAAUCACUCUUACUUGUACGGCAAGGCCAGUGCUGAACUCAUUGCCAAUAUGACCAUCGGGCCUUCGAGAUGCCAAGAGCUUCUGCUUGAUCUUGGUCAGGGCCGUCUCAAGCUCAGCAGCAUUGUGAUCAUGGGAUCCAGCAUUCUUCACACACUGCAGGGCCAUUGCCGCCAUUGCAUAGGUAUCUAUAAAAGCAGUACGUAAAGCAUAAAAGUAACUGUUGAUGGAAGAAUCAGACAACUGUUAAACAUUUGAAUAAGUCCCUUGCAUCAUAACAACUGAUCAGCAGGCAUCCAAGAAGGUUUUACCCACCGAUGCUGUCUGUGUCUCCAUGUGUGAAAUAUUCAUUUUCUACUGCCUUGAUGAGUUUGUUGGCGACGUGGUUGUUGACCCUGAUGCCGCUCACGCACAGAGCGAGCACACCCAGCGAGUACUGGUAAUAGUUGGUCAAAGGACGUUGGCUGACUGCGUGAAGACAAGAAGACAUAAAAGCAUAUAUCAUGCAGUCACGUGAAAUAGUUAGGCUGACUGUGAAGGACAUGUUAGUGCUCCAAAUGCUUGUCAGUCUUUUCACAUAUGUUGUGGCAACUUUUGGAAUUUCAAGUCACUCCGACCUAACGGUUAAACUUUGGGAUUUAAUAUAACACUACCAUCUGGUAUAUUUGUAAUUUGCUUUUAAAAGCGCAUGCACAGUAGGUGUGCAUGUUUAGUCACAUUUUCAUCCUUAAGUGAGGAGAGGUUCAGGAGUAGAAGAGUCCGAAUAUUUUCACAUACAGUUGUCCCUCACCACUUUGCACUUCAAAUUUCGUGACUUCCCUCUAUCAUCAUCCAUCCAUUUUCUAUGCCGCUUCUCCUCAUUGCUGGAUGCUGGAGCCUAUCCCAGCUGACUUCGGGCGACAGGUGGGGUACACCCUCGACUGGUCGCCUGCAUGCAUGUUUUUGGAAUGUAGAAGGAAGCCGGAGUACGCGGAGAAAACCCACACACGGGGAGAACAUGCAAACUCCACACAGAAAUGCCCAACGGAGAUUCGAACCCAGAUUCUUCCCGAUCUCCAGACUGUGACUGUGUGUCCAACAUGCUAACCACUAGACCACCGUUCCCUCUAUCACAGUUUUUCAAAAAUACAUUACUUCAUCAAUCAUGCUAUUUUGUGGUUGAAUACAUAAAAUAUAUGCGUAAAUAUAUGCAUGUUUAAGCAAGUGUUGCAUAUUUUUUGCCUAUAUUAAGUUUGUUAUAUGUUAAGUUUAUAUAUGUUAUAUAUGUUAUAAAAACAUAUAUGUUUAUAUACGUUAAGCCUGUAUUUUUCAAGUAAAAAAAAAUGGCUAAAUUAACUAAAAUACAAAAAUAUAAGGCAUCCAAAAUACGCAUUGAAAGAUGUUGAUAUGUAGUAUUCUACACUUGGUCACUAGGUGUCAGUAAUGUUCGAUGAGACACACAAGCGUCAGACUGGAUCGUCGGAACGGCCGCUACUGUUACGCUACUGUUGUGGCUGUAAUCCACACUAAACUGAAACUCAACUCUGAAUCCCCCAAAGUCACUUCCUGUCGGAAUACAAGUGUAAAGGUGACUAGAGAAGUGUAUUUCUUGUCUAGAGGCCUCUAAUAAUGUUAAAAGGCGUAUUUAGAAGGUGGUAAACAGGUUUUCCAUGCUCUACGAAAACUGUGAAUGAUCUAGAAAUGGUAUAGUAGUGUUUUCCACUUUUCCAUUAAACAGGCGGUCAUUCAUAUUCUCCUUCAGAACUAAUUGAAAACUUACAGGAAAUGUAUUCUUUCUCUUGCUCCAUCUGCUUCUUGAGGUGCGUCAGCAGCGUCUCACUCUUGUCACCAACAGUGAAGUGGAUUGUGUUGAGAUCAUAACACGAUGACUUCAGGGCCAGCGUGUAUAACGCCAAGCGUCCGACCAUGGGCUGGCUGACAGCGAGGGCGCUGAAGAAAAUAAAGUUAAUGGCAAUGAGAUUCAGGGCAGUAAGACAUUUUGUUCCAGUGGGUGUUGACACAUGCUCUCAUUUAU